rnacentral:lncRNA from 1 species
CAGCUACGACGAACCGUACCACUAACAUGUAGCAGUGGCACUCUUGCACUGCACCGCACUUAUUAGUAGGCCAACAAAUCAUGUUGCGGCGGCCUCCCGAUUGAUGAGUCACGGUGCUGCUCUCUGUGACGAGAAUAGAGAAAGUGAUUGAUUAUAGACUAAAUGAUUACAGUCAAGUUAUACAAUAAGUUAUUUUAUACUUAUCUUUACGACACUUUUUCUUUUCUAUUUUUUUCUCAUAACAUUUACUAUUUGGGUCCAACGUUACGUGUUCAACUUGGUGCUUGCAUGAAAGCCAAACUAUCAUCUCUCUCCUAUCUUGUCUUCUCUCCUCCGCAUCAGCAUUAGCUUGGCUAUAAGCCCGUUAUUGUAUCUAAUCUCAGAUCAUGAACAAGAUAACUACUAGUUGUAAUAAUGUAAUAACCACUACCUCGUUUUCUUUUUUUAAUAAAUUUUUUUUUCCUGUAGGGGCUUUGCCCCUCCAG